rnacentral:rRNA from 1 species
ACGGAGGUUCCUAGCGUUGUUCGGAAUUACUGGGCGUAAAGGGAGCGCAGGCGGACGAUCCAGUCUAAAGUGGAAUCCCGGGGCUUAACCCCGGAAGUGCUUUGGAUACUAGUCGUCUUGAGUUCGCGAGAGGAAGGCGGAAUUCAGGGUGUAGCGGUGAAAUGCUUAGAUAUCCUGAGGAACACCGGUGGCGAAAGCGGCCUUCUGGCGCGAUACUGACGCUCAUGCUCGAAAGCGUGGGGAGCGAACGG